CAAUAGCGUAUAUUAAAGUUGUUGCAGUUAAAAAGCUCGUAGUUGGAUUUGUGGCGUACGGUGUGUUCCGGGCACUUGUUGUCUGAGUAACCUGCUGUUGCCAUCCUUGGGUGGAACCUGUGUGGCAUUAGGUUGUCGUGCAGGGGAUGCACAUCAUUUACUGUGAAAAAAUUAGAGUGUUCAAAGCAGGCUUAUGCCGUUGAAUAUAUUAGCAUGGAAUAAUGAGAUAGGACUUUUUUGCUAUUUUGUUGGUUUGCGCAAAGAGGUAAUGAUUAAUAGGGACAGUUGGGGGUAUUCGUAUUCCAUUGUCAGAGGUGAAAUUCUUGGAUUUUUGGAAGACGAACUACUGCGAAAGCAUUUACCAAGGAUGUUUUCAUUAA
rnacentral:rRNA from 1 species